GACGAACGCUGGCGGCGUGCUUAACACAUGCAAGUCGAACGGAAAGGCCCUGCUUUUGUGGGGUGCUCGAGUGGCGAACGGGUGAGUAACACGUGAGUAACCUGCCCUUGACUUUGGGAUAACUUCAGGAAACUGGGGCUAAUACCGGAUAGGAGCUCCUGCUGCAUGGUGGGGGUUGGAAAGUUUCGGCGGUUGGGGAUGGACUCGCGGCUUAUCAGCUUGUUGGUGGGGUAGUGGCUUACCAAGGCUUUGACGGGUAGCCGGCCUGAGAGGGUGACCGGCCACAUUGGGACUGAGAUACGGCCCAGACUCCUACGGGAGGCAGCAGUGGGGAAUAUUGCACAAUGGGCGGAAGCCUGAUGCAGCAACGCCGCGUGCGGGAUGACGGCCUUCGGGUUGUAAACCGCUUUCGCCUGUGACGAAGCGUGAGUGACGGUAAUGAAUAAAGAAGCACCGGCUAACUACGUG
rnacentral:rRNA from 1 species